AUGGAAGGGAAACAACAGUUUGCGCUGAACCUGCCUCCGGGCUACCACUUCACCCCGACGGAAGCCGAGCUCAUCGUCCACUACCUUCGCCGGAAGCUGGACGGCCUCCCGCCGCACCUGCCCAUCUUCAACGACGUGACGCCCAUCACCGACUACCGCCCGGAGCAGAUCACAGAUGAGUUCAGGGACUUCGGGGAGGGGGGCCGGUGGUACUUCUUCACCAAGCGGACCCGCAAGUACGCGACGGGCAGCCGGCCGGACCGGACCACGCCGGGCAAGGGCUUCUGGAAGGGCACGGGCCCCGUGAGGGAAAUCCCCAUCAACCCCGGCGGCAAGCUGGUCGGGCACGCGAGGACGCUGGUGUUCUACACCGGGCCGGACGAGCCCACCUACUGGACCAUGUACGAGUACGAGAACCACACCUCCGAGGCAGAGGCCAAUGACAAGAACAUCGACAAGCUUGGUGAGUGGGUCUUGUGCACGAUACAGAAGAAAAAGGCAGGCGGCAAGGCAGGUGGCAGGAAAAGGAAGGGCAAGGCGCAGAACCGCGCCGAUCAAGUCCAGAUUCAGAGCGCCGAGGUGCCGGAGACGGCGUGGCCGGAGAAUGUUGAUGAGGCCUACGUGUUCGACGACCUGGAGCAAACCGGUUGUCCCAGGAAGAGGCCACAGAUGCAGCAGCAUGAACCGCCGCGCUCAGAGACAAUGAUGGUAGACGACUAUGACUACAAUGGUAUCCAAGACAUCUGGGAUGAUGAGUACAUGCCGAUGCCGCCGCCGCCGCCGGAGUAUGAGGUGGCGCCUCCUGUUUCAGGUAUAGGAUACAGCUACAACAGCAUGAUGUAUCAGCCGGCCACCAGCUAUCUACAUGCUGCGCAUUACGCGCUGGAGCAGGAUGGGUACGCCGGCGGACAUCUCGGCAGCCUCUUGGGCACGGGCAACAUUCCAUGUACCUACCGGCCGCAGCAUUCCUGUGCCGCUGGAACCACCAACUUGCCAUGGAGCACGGGGACGACGACGAGCGGCCAGGUAGAGCCGUGA
rnacentral:rRNA from 1 species